rnacentral:rRNA from 1 species
GGGGAAUUUUGGACAAUGGGGGCAACCCUGAUCCAGCCAUCCCGCGUGUGCGAUGAAGGCCUUCGGGUUGUAAAGCACUUUUGGCAGGGAAGAAACGACGCCGGAUAAUACCUGGUGUUAAUGACGGUACCUGCAGAAUAAGCACCGGCUAACUACGUGCCAGCAGCCGCGGUAAUACGUAGGGUGCAAGCGUUAAUCGGAAUUACUGGGCGUAAAGCGUGCGCAGGCGGUUCGGAAAGAAAGAUGUGAAAUCCCAGAGCUUAACUUUGGAAUGGCAUUUUUAACUACCGGGCUAGAGUAUGUCAGAGGGGGGUAGAAUUCCACGUGUAGCAGUGAAAUGCGUAGAGAUGUGGAGGAAUACCGAUGGCGAAGGCAGCCCCCUGGGAUAAUACUGACGCUCAUGCACGAAAGCGUGGGGAGCAAAC